rnacentral:lncRNA from 1 species
GCCAUGGAAGCGGACUAAGGAAGUGGCGUCGCGAGGUCGUCUCGACGAACGUUAUCUUUCUGGCCAUAACCCUCCAGCUCAGGUGAGUCUUCCUUUCCUUCCUGAUCUCCAUACGGAGAUCGAGAAGGAAUGGAAGAAGCCGUUUUCCUCACGCAUCCAUCGGUUUCAGCAUACCAGUUAUGCGAAUAUCGAGGCGGUGCGCGAAAACGGCUAUGAGAGAAUGCCCCCUGUAGAAGAGACGCUAGCUAGCUAUCUCUCUAUGGGAGAGACAUCAUCUCUCAAAACUCCCUCCUUGCCAUCCAUGCCUCUUCAAGCUACAUCUAAAAUGAAUGGCAAGGCAUACGCAGCAGCAGGUCAGGCUGUUGCUUCACUGCACACGAUGGCGGUGCUCCAAGCAUACCAGGCUGAUCUGCUGAAAGACCUGGAUAAAGGCGAGGGCCUUUCUUCUGAUGAGAUGGCUGAGUUACGCCGCACCACGGAUCUUGCUCUUCGUGCUACUAAGCAGGCUGCCUCUGCCAUGGGCAGAUCUAUGGCAGCGAUGGUAGUAACGGAGAGGCAGCUGUGGGUAAACCUGGCAGACAUCGGGAAGAAAGAAAGGGGUUUUCUUCUCGAUGCCCCGGUUUCGCCCUCUGAACUUUUUGGUACAUCCGUUGAGACGGUCAUCGAAAAGUUCAGGGAGGCGAAGGCACGCUCAGCGGCCUUCAAAACCUUCAUUCCACGAAGGUCCAGGUCUGAGCCCGAACAACCCAGGGGUCCUGGCCCGUCUCGAUUUGAGGAUCAGAGACGAGCACAGAAGGCUAGUGUCGCGACUCGCGCUCCUCCUCCGCCUGCGGGUAGGGGUAGGAAGUAUCGUGGGUCGAAGGGAGGUAGGCAAGACCUGAGGGAUGUGAUCCAGACAAGGCGUCAGAGCUUUCGUCCGGAUCAGAGUAAUACUUAGGUAUCCACUCUUUCCCUCAGGGGGUGUAACAUCUACCCCUUUCUUCCCCUUCCUAAUUCCCCUGUAACCACCAUAUCGCCACCUGACCGAGGUCAGGUGGAAGCUUCCUGCAUAACA